rnacentral:piRNA from 1 species
UGAAAAUGUGGGUGUAUUGAAAGGGUUUA